GGGCCCGUGGCCUAGAAUGGAUAGGGCGCCGGCCUGCGGAGCCGGUAGUCGGGGGUUCAAGUCCCCCCGGGCCCA
rnacentral:tRNA from 1 species